rnacentral:rRNA from 1 species
GACGAACGCUGGCGGCGUGCUUAACACAUGCAAGUCGAGCGGAAAGGCCACUUCGGUGGUACUCGAGCGGCGAACGGGUGAGUAACACGUGAGUAAUCUGCCCCUGGCUUUGGGAUAGCCACCGGAAACGGUGAUUAAUACCGGAUACGAGCACUUCUCGCAUGGGAUGGGGGGGGAAAGUUUUUUCGGGCAGGCAUGUGCUCGCGGCCUAUCGGCUUGAUGGUGAGGUAAUGGCUCACCAUGGUUUCGACGGGUAGCCGGCCUGUGAGGGUGACCGGUCACACUGGGACUGAGACACGGCCCAGACUCCUACGGGAGGCAGCAGUGGGGAAUAUUGGACAAUGGGCGGAAGCCUGAUCCAGCAACGCCGCGUGAGGGAUGACGGCCUUCGGGUUGUAAACCUCUUUCAGCAGGGACGAAGCGCAAGUGACGGUACCUGCAGAAGAAGCACCGGCCAACUACGUGCCAGCCGCCGCCGUAA